UUGCUUGCUUUGACAGCACAUAUACUAAAAUCAGAAUAAUACAGAGAAGAUUUGCAUGGUCCCUGCACAAGGAAAGCAUGCAAAUUUGUGAAGCAUUUCAUAUUUUA
rnacentral:snRNA from 1 species